UCUAAGUGCAUGUUUGACUACGAUAUUUGAAAAUGAAACGCCCUUUAACCUAGCUGUUCGUAUAUAUUGUGCUGUCAUGACUUCCGCCAUCGAAGCCCUUGUCAUCCUUGCUAUAUAGCCCAUUCCGUAUAUUGCAAUGGUCAGAACUGGUAAUAAAAAAUUUUCCAAGUUUGGG
rnacentral:ncRNA from 1 species